AGGAAGAAAAAGAAAGGAAGGUAGACAGACAGAGAUAGAUAGAUAGAUAGAUAGAUAGAUAGAUAGAUAGAUAGAUAGAUAGAUAGAUGCCAUCAGAGAGGAUAUUUGCUUUUUGAAAUGAAAGGAAGAACAUCAUGCUACUGUGUUUAUAGUCAUAAUGUACAGCUAUGGAAUGUGAGAAUUGUAUAAAAAAUUUAAAAUAAUCUAAUCCAGUUCCCUCAUCAUAUAGAUAAGGAAAUUGAGAUCCAAAAAGCAGAAAAUGACUAAUCUGAGAUCAUAACAGCAAGUCAGUAGCAAAAUUGAUUCUAGAACCAGACUUCCAGGCCUGUGCUCUUUUUGGAACAUUACAUAAUGCUGUCUUUACACUCAAAGACCCUAUAAAACUGGGAAAUCAGAGCACGUUCAUGUUAACUAGUCUAUUUUCAGAUUAUAGAAAGCAACACAAAAGCAGUAUCUACCAUGAUCAAUGCUUCAGAGCCCUUCUCACCUAAAAUGUUACCUCUAUGAGCCUAGGGAAGUUAGCCAAACAGCUUAGCAGCAGGCACCCAGCUAUUAAACUUCACUUUAGAACAGACCCCAAUUUGAAUGUACAGCCUAAUGAGCACUGAUGAUUCCUGGAGGCAUCUGAAUCAUGACGAAAGUGUCUGGAGACCUAAGGGAAAGGGAACGGAUGUUGUUCAUUGCAUUAGACAGUCGCUGGCAGGAGGUUAUCCAUUAUAGUAACCUAGCUGUUUGGUUCAUCUAUUGCCUGAGGACCUGUGAACAGUCCACACAAAGUAAUUGUACUUUAAUGCUAGGCCAUUUUUAGAGCAGGAAAAGUCCAAUGAAUUGGGUCUCCCCUACUGAUCCAUAGCUGGAGUAUCCCAGGAGAAAAUAAAGAUUAGAAUGAGCUAUGUUUCUGUGGGAAGGCUCAUGGUGACAUUAGAUAGAUACCCACUUCUCUGCAAAGAGAGUUUAUUAAACUGAAGAUAAACCCAUUGUAUUUAUAUUAAGAAAAUAUCACUGGGAUUUGGCAGGCUUGUCUCCGAGCAUGGUGUUGGCAGACAGAUCCUUUACAUUUUUUUCAAAUGUUCCUGAAAUAAGAAUUCUGGCCCAGGACAUUGUAACCUGGAAGGCAGAGCCAAAGGGGCUGGAAUUCUCUUCAUUAGUGAUAGGUCCAAAAGGAAUUUCUAUUCAGCAAGGGCAACCCUGCCAUCUUCUGUAUGCCUGGAUUUCUUGGUUGAUACUAUAGCUGAGAAGAAUGAGUAAGCCAUUCAGACUGGUAUACAAAAGUGUCUUCACCUGUCUGAUAAAUAGCAACCUUUUUAGAUCAGAGGGCCCUUUAGUUGCCUUUACUUCUAUUUGCUGAAUCUGAUGAUCCUCUCUUAAGGAACAGAAGGAAAUGCAAUACAUAGGAGGAAGGAAAGAGACAUAAGAGCAAUUAAUUGCUAUAAGAAUGACUGGGGUUGGCGAAUUGCAGCUGAGAAAGAAGUAAAUAUUUGGCUUUUCUGUUUAAUUCAUUUCCACUUGGAAAUGAGAAUUACUUGCAUCAAACAUUUUAGUCUAUUACUUCAGGAGGUUGGAAAGAGAGGAAAAUGAUGGUUUCCAGCCUUGCCCAAUGGAGCUGAUCCACAUUACCCAGAGGUACCAUCUUCUCCACUGGUUUUCUCUUGGUGGAGACAUAUACUUUCUGGAGGGAUGGCAUAUGAGGUAACAAAUUUCAAACUGAAGGAAUGUGAAGUCUGUGUUUCUAAUCAAAUCUUUCACCCCAGAGAGAUUUGUGCAACAUAUCAACCCCUCAUUUAACCACUAACAUUCCCUUCCUGGACAUCAAUUUUUCAGUAAUGGAACAAAAUGUGACCUGAGUGGCCUUUGAAGUUCAAUUUUCCAUAUUCACUGAAACCUCAUGAGACUUGCAUCCAAGUCCAGAUGCCAUGGAAAUUGUUUUCUUAAUGCUUUCUAGAAAGGGUUGUCUCUGCCAGGCAUCCAUAACAUAUAAGUGAAGAAAAGCACUCUCCAAUAGGAAUAAUUUCCUGAUUUCCUUUCUAGGCUCUGAGUUUAAGUGGAAAAUACUUCACUUGGCCCAGUGAAUCAUAAAACAGAUCCAAACCCAAGAUGAGACUCUGUCUGAGUGAUUUGGAGCAAGAGGAGAGAUUUGCAAGGAAAUGGAGAAUAGAGAAUUAGUUUCUAAUGGAAAAGUCAUCCCUGUGACCCAAGAGAGUCCUAUGCACCAGUGUAAAAGAUAGGACAUAUUUCUAAAUCAUUCCAUCCCUGGCUUUUCAACCACUUAAAAAAAUUCUCUUUUUGUCUACCUGCCAACUAUAUUGGCUCUUCUCUGGUUUCCAUUCCAUCAAACUGACAAAUAAAUUUCCUAUCUUGAAAGGUAACUACAGGGCAAAAUGUCACCCUCAUCUUACCCUGCUUCUCAGCCCUGCUUUUGUGAUCCUCUCACUGUGAACUCCAUGUUCAGCAUCUCUAAUGACCUCUGGCACUAAAAGUGGGGAUAACUUCAAAGGUAAAAGAGAAUUUAUUCAACCAGACCCUGGUCUCAGUGAGGGUGGUUUUGUAGUUCCCUAGCUCGUCUGGUUUCUUGGCUGAGGCUCUGGACUAGCUGGGGAACUGGCACAGAUGUUCUUGCCCAGGGCUCUAAGUCAGCAGUGGGCUCGUUAUGUGCAUGGCUGUAUAGCAGAGUGCUCCUGGGACACCCGAGCGAUAUAUUUUGGAAAUGGUACAGAGCUGUCAGUAGAGCCUGGAUUCCAAGAAACUUCUGUACCAUCAGUCUUUGUCAUGAAAAAUGGGACCAAUGUGGCAUGUCUGGUGAAGGACUUCUACCCCAAGACUGUGGAAAUACAGCUUCAUCCAGACAACAAUCCAUCAGAAGGAGUCGUUGCUACUGCAGAUGGGAAAUUCAGUGCUGUCAAGCUUGGCCAAUAUAAAAAAGAUUUGGAUCAAAUUAACUGCACCGUUUGGCACAACAAUAAGGUCGUGGUGGCUUCUUACAAAGGGUCCUAUUCCAAUUCCAAGAUUUCAGGGUCACCACUUCCCAAAGAGUGCUACAAACCUACAGCACAAAUUGAGAAAGUGAACUUGCUGUCCAUCACCCUGCUGGGGUUCCGAGUGCUGCUUGCCAAGAGCAUCGCUGUCAACUUUGUCUUGACCAUCAAGUUUUUUCUACUCUAAGGCUUGGAGUAAGACAACUACACUUCAGUUAAAAAAGAAGUAAACCAGGAACCCACUGGAUGUUUUCCCUUGACUUCUCUUACUGUGAUGCAAUAGCUCUUGUUGAUGACUAUUUUGACUGCCACUUUUGCUUUUUCCUAACUGCUUUUGCUUUGGAAAAAAAAAUUAUACCCAAGUCUUUUCCCUUUUUUUGUAAACCCUUGCUUUCCAUCUUAAAAUCAAUACUGUGUAUUGGUUCCAGGGCAGAAGAGCAGUAAUACCCAAUGGUUUUUCAAAGCCAGGUGGUUGACUCUAUGUACUGACAUGUUUCUGUAAUUUCCUUGAUAGGAAUGGAAUUGUUUUGUCACUUUGGCUAUCAGACUCAAAAAGUAUGUCCCCACUCUUCUGACUUCCUCUACCUCCAGAGCAUAAACCAAGGAAGGAGAGAGAAGAGAAAAUCCUGCUAUGUCCCAAACUCCACAACCACUCUUCCCAGUGUGCCCAUCUUCUCUGUCCUUAUCUUGACAGCCACAAAAGACUGAAUGUCAGAAAUUCCUUUUUUUCUAGAACUCUGGAUCUAGAAGAAAGGACAUUUCCACCAACUCCUACUUGCAGUAUGAAUUCUUUCCUCCAACAACCCUGACAAUAAUGGUUUCACCUCUACUUAAAAGCAUCUACAUGAGCAGCUGGGUAGCUCAGUGGAUUGAGAGCCAGGCCUAGAGAUGGGAGUUCCUAGGUUCAAAUUUGGCCUCAGACACUUCCCAGCUGUGUGACCCUGGACAAGUCAUUUGAACCCCAUUGCCUAACCCUUACCACUCUUCUGCCUUGGAUCCAUUACACAAUAUGGACUCCAAGAAGGUUAGGAUUUUUUUAAAAGUGUCUAGUGAUGAGGAACUAACUCAUUAAUUCAGAAGCCAGUCUAUUAGAGAUAGCAUGGAUUAGUGAAGAAGGAGCAAGGGUGGUCAACAGAGCAUCAGAGUUAAAGACAGGAAGAAGUGGGUUUGAAUUCUGACUCAGAUACUUACUAGCUAUGUGACCCUAAACAAAGGUCACAUUUAAUCAAAUUCCACUUCUAUAAAAUGAGGGAGGUGGACUCAAUGAGCUCCAAGAUCCCUUCCUGCUCUAAAUCUAUUAUUUUACUAAAUAUUAUUAUUUCACUUUGAUGUAGCUAUAAUUAUUAGAAAGUUUUUCUUUACAAUGAACUGAAAUUUGCCUCAGUUCACUUGAUGUUCUCCACAGUUCUUCCUAAAAGGUCUGAAAAGAAUAAAUAUCAUCCCUUUCCCAUGUAACAGCACUUCAAAUAUUUUAAUAAACCUAGAAUUCUCCUUACCCCCAAGUCGUUUCUUCUCUAUGCUAAAUAUCCCCAAUUCCUUCAUUCCACCUUGGUUUCUAGUCCAUUUCUAUUUUUUCCUCUAUCUUUGCAUUCUCAGAACCAAGUACUGUGUCUGGCACAUAAUAAACGCUUAAAUGUUUGUUGACUUGACUUGUGGAUUCUCAUUCUACUGGUCACCUCCUCUGGACAUGUUCCACUUGUCUAAGUCCCUCCAGGGGAGAGUAGAGUGGAAUCUCCCAUUCUGGACACCAAAUGUGUGUCUGUUAGUGUAGUCGAUGUCUAUGGUCACUGGUCUGGCUGUCAUGUCACACUGUUGAAUAAUACUGAGCCUGCAGCCCACUAAAACUCUUCUUUCUAUCCUAGGACCUUUCGAUUUGCUUAGCUCUUCAUAGAGAAAAUGGCAUAGAGCCUCCUCCUUCCCACUCUCUGAACAUAUGACAUUUACCCAAACCUCAGGCAGACAUUUGUCUUGGUGUUUCAGAUUCGAGGCUGAAUGGGAAAAGAAAUGAGAACCGAGGGUCACAGUAGCCAUGCCCAGGUUCACGUCAUUACUGACAUUCUCCCUGACAAUCUCUGUUUUGGGGACAGGAAGAACUAGAGAUUGUUUCUGGGUCUAGAUUUUCAGACAAUAGAUUCUAAAUACCAAGAUGAUUUGAGAGAAAAUGGGUCCUGAUUCUUUAGCCUAUGAUAUUAAUACACCUUCUGCAGUUUCUCUAAGAUGCUGUCUCUACUAUCAUGUACCAAAGGGUGUUUUUUGUUUCCUGUUCCCUGGGGUUCUAAUCAUUUGAAGACCACAGCAAAAAGGAUGGGGUGGGUCUCUAAGCUUGCUCAUCUCACCGCUAGUCAGGCUGAAUGAGAGCUGAGAGCCCCCAGGUCACCCCGCAGCUUCCUGAGACCCAGCCCACAGAUUUCCUUCUGGUAGCUGAAGCAGCAAGAUCACUUGAUAUGGCCCACAAGUUGCUGUUUCCCCAGCCUCAGCAAAUUUGGGCUUCUUUCCAACCACUCUGAUUUCAGAGUCUCAGAGACUGAGUCAUGGUUUUUAAGAAACCUCAGUGGAGGAUAAUGGGAAAAGAAAAUUUUCUGGCUAUCAGUAAGAGUGCAGGUACCCACAAAAAAUCAUUUUCUCACCAAGGGUCUAUACUCCUGAAUUAGGUCUAUACAGCCAAAACAAAUGGACCACAGAAACUCAAGACCAUCUAGAACAGAGGUUUUUAAUCGGGGAUCCACAAAGGUCAGGGACAAAUCUCAAGAGGUCUGUAAACUUGAGUACGGGAAAAAUCCACCUUAUUUCACUAAGCUUUGGUUUCUUGAAAUCCUAUGUACUUUAUUUUAUUUUAUGUGUUCCAGAAGUCCAUAGACCUCAUCAGACUGUCAAAGGAGUCCCUAACCCAAGAAAGCUUACAAACCCCUCAUCUAGAGCAUUAAUACAAAUCAUUCAGCCCAGGCAACUCGGGGACCCCAUGAUUGCUAUGUCUUGAAUUAGAAAGAAAUAUUCUCUAAAACAUAUUUACAGAGCCAGUUAUGUAGCAGAGUAGAUAGAGUGCCAAGCCUUGAGCCAGGAGGACCUAGGUUCAAUUCUGGCCCCAGAAAAUUCCCAGCUCUGUGACCCUGGGCAAGUCACUUAAUCCCAAUUAACUAGUCCUUGCUUUAAGGGUUUUAAAAAAAAUAAAGUAUAUUUACACUUGUUAUAAUUGCCCUGGCAGUAGCUUCAGCAGCAAGAACCAGAACUGAGAUAACAUCUAAAGGCUGAUAAAUACUUCCCCCAUCUUAUCUCAUUUGAUCUUGCACAACAACCAUGUGAGGGAGACCUUACUGGGCUCUUUAUCCCCAUUUAACAGAUAAGGACACCAAGACUUGUGCCCAAAGGCACACUGCUUUCCCAAAAUAGUCAGGAUUUAAAGAAUCAUCUUCAUUGCCAUUUGGGUGGGCCAGAGGAGGAAGUACCCAACAACAUGAAGGAAAGAUAUGGAACUCACAUUGUCACAGGAAAGCAAGAGUGUUAAAAUCCACUUAUCAAAAGUCCCAACCUUGAGUUCUUUCCACUAUUGUAAGUUCCCUCCCUAAAAUAAAGAAAGAGGGGGCAGCUGGGUGGCUCAGUGGAUUGAGAGCCAGGCCCCAGAGAUAGGAGAUCCUGGGUUCAAAUCUGACCUCAGACACUUCCCAGCUGUGUGACCCUGGGUAAGUCACUUAACACCUACUGCCUAGCCCUUACCACUCUUCUGCCUUGGAGCCAAUACACAGUAUUGAUUCUAAGACAGAAUCUGGUAAGGGUCUAUAAAAAAUAAAAUAAAAUGAGAACAGAGACUGGCUAUCUCAACUGUUUUCAACCAAAUAAUUAAUUUUACUGCUCUGUGGUUCAUCUUAACUAUAAGAACUGGCUUUGAUUUUUCAGAGAAAAGCUC